UCUUUUUGAGUGUUGAGUGUUUGUUUUGCAGGUUUUUGAAAAUGUCUAAGGUUUGUCAAGGUGAUAAUGGCCAUAAUGAUGUCUAUGACACAUUUAAAAAAUUCCAACAACAGUUAGAUGAACAAGCUGCCGCACUUCAAACUUUGAGUGCUACUAUCAAUGAGGUGAGAGUGAAUCAAAAACCUCAAUAUCGAGAUUCAAUUAAAGAAGAUAUGGAUAACCAGCCUUCUGC
rnacentral:lncRNA from 1 species